GUAAUGUGUCUGAGUGUAUAACAGAGCUCCACGGCAAUCAUACUCCCAGUAAUGUGUCUGAGUGUAUAACAGAGCCCCACGGCAAUAAUACUCCCAGUAAUGUGUCUGACUGUAUAACAAAGCUCCACAGCAAUAAUACUCCCAGUAAUGUGUCUGAGUGUAUAACAGAGCUCCACAGCAAUAAUACUCCCAGUAAUGUGUAGGAGUGUAUAACAGAGCUCCACAGCAAUAAUACUCCCAGUAAUGUGUCUGAGUGUAUAACAGAGCUCCACAGCAAUAAUACUCCCAGUAAUGCGUCU